rnacentral:misc_RNA from 1 species
GCAAACUUGGUCAUUUAGAGGAAGUAAAAGUCGUAACAAGGUUUCCGUAGGUGAACCUGCGGAAGGAUCAUUAACAAAUCCAAAAGAUGUCUUUUGAUUCAUGUGUUCUUUGCAUGUGAUUCAAGACACAUUUGUUCCAUGUGUGCAUUUCAUUAUGUGCACGUUGUGAUACAUUUCUGUAAAUUGUCUGAUUUCUUAUGUAUUUCUAAUUCUAAAAAUGACUUUUAACAAUGGAUCUCUAGGCUCUUGCAUCGAUGAAGAACGCAGC